AUAAAAUUUGCAAGGGAACAACUGUUCUGUGAUCAAUUACCGUAUAUGGCCUACAGUGUACAGUUCUACUGAAAACAACGUAAAAUUUGCAAGGGAAGAACUGUUCUGUGAUCAAUUAUAUGGCCUACAGUGUACAGUUCUACUGAAAACAACGUAAAAUUUGCAAGGGAAGAACUGUUCUGUGAUCAAUUAUAUGGCCUACAGUGUAC